rnacentral:rRNA from 1 species
UUGGAUCCAGACUUUGAUCAUGGCUCAGGAUGAACGCUAGCUACAGGCUUAACACAUGCAAGUCGAGGGGCAGCGGGAUUGAAGCUUGCUUCAAUUGCCGGCGACCGGCGCACGGGUGAGUAACGCGUAUCCAACCUUCCGUACACUCAGGGAUAGCCUUUCGAAAGAAAGAUUAAUACCUGAUGGUAUGAUGAGAUUGCAUGAUAGCAUCAUUAAAGAUUUAUCGGUGUACGAUGGGGAUGCGUUCCAUUAGGUAGUAGGCGGGGUAACGGCCCACCUAGCCAACGAUGGAUAGGGGUUCUGAGAGGAAGGUCCCCCACAUUGGAACUGAGACACGGUCCAAACUCCUACGGGAGGCAGCAGUGAGGAAUAUUGGUCAAUGGACGAGAGUCUGAACCAGCCAAGUAGCGUGAAGGAUGAAGGUCCUACGGAUUGUAAACUUCUUUUAUAAGGGAAUAAACCCUCCCACGUGUGGGAGCUUGUAUGUACCUUAUGAAUAAGCAUCGGCUAACUCCGUGCCAGCAGCCGCGGUAAUACGGAGGAUGCGAGCGUUAUCCGGAUUUAUUGGGUUUAAAGGGAGCGCAGACGGGUCGUUAAGUCAGCUGUGAAAGUUUGGGGCUCAACCUUAAAAUUGCAGUUGAUACUGGCGUCCUUGAGUGCGGUUGAGGUGUGCGGAAUUCGUGGUGUAGCGGUGAAAUGCUUAGAUAUCACGAAGAACUCCGAUUGCGAAGGCAGCACACUAAUCCGUAACUGACGUUCAUGCUCGAAAGUGUGGGUAUCAAACAGGAUUAGAUACCCUGGUAGUCCACACGGUAAACGAUGGAUACUCGCUGUUGGCGAUAUACUGUCAGCGGCUUAGCGAAAGCGUUAAGUAUCCCACCUGGGGAGUACGCCGGCAACGGUGCAACUCAAAGGAAUUGACGGA